rnacentral:lncRNA from 1 species
CCUUAAUAAAUAGCAUCAACCAUAAUUCCGACUUGGAAUUAUAUAAAACAUCUCAAAGGUACUGUUUUCAACGGUCCAUACUAACAUACUUACUCUCCACUGACUAUCCAAAGCGUCCUCUACCUGAGCUGGUAAAGUAAUCUCACGAAACAGAGAGGGGGAUGUAGACAGUCUAACAAACUGAGCACCUAUAUCUGGCCAUCUUCCUCUUGCUUAGCUGUCAGGGUUAGAUAAGCAACAGAAUGAGCUACAAAAGCUCAGCAAGUAACUAUAAAGAACAAAUAAGUUAAACUAUUCAACAAAAUAAGAUGGAGGGUUUUCAGUUACUGACUAAGGUUACAAAGGUCAUAAUAGAGAUUCAAAGUUCAGGAUCAUUCCAUAGAAAUCAUUUUGUACAUGAUUAAUUCAUAAAAACAUUUCACUUCUCAAAACUUUUGUA